UUGAUUUAAAAAAAUUAAUAAUUCCAACCAAUGAAAGUACAACAGCUGUCGUUGGCAAAUCGUUGUCAAAAUUCUGUUGUCAAAUAAACAUUUCCUUUUAAGUUAUUCGUUUAGGUUCUCAUUUCAUUUGACAGCUGAAAAGAUAUUGUAUUUUGUUCUACUAAAGUUAGAAUUUAAAACUCUUAUAUAGUACAUAUAUAUUAAAGUUGUAUGUUGUUGUAUAUUGUGUAUGUAGCUGCAAAUUUUGCAUAUGUAUUUGCUCGUGUAACUAUUGAACUAAUUUAUGAAUGUUUAUCUAUAACAGUAGUUAUUCAUUAAAAUCAAAACAUUACUAAACAAAAUUUAAGAUUUGAAAUUAAAUUUUAUAUCUAAAUCAACUUAUUAACUUAUAUAUUAUUAAAAAUAUUAAAACUUUUGGAACUUACUUUUUAAAUUCUUACGACAUUUAAAAGCAUAUUUUAAAACUUACUCAUAUAAGUAUUUAAAUUUUAAAUGAUGAACUUGGCAUAAAAUUAAGAUAAACUGUAAAAUGUUGAAAUGAUAGUAAAAGAUUAAAUUGAAAAACUAAAUUGAUGAUGACAUAUUUGAAAUGUAUCAUAAUUUUUGAAAAGUAAAAAAUACUAUUCAACUUCAAAUAUCAUAUAUAAAGAUCCACGAUAACUUUAUAAAAUUCUGUUCAACUUCAAAUAUUGUCUAAUUAACGUCGAUCCUAUUACCAAGUCGCGAUUCCUCAAUCAUGGAGUGUAGAAGACCUGCGUUCAUGUCCUCUGUUCACUUCAGAGGCUCAGUGACGACUGUCUUACCUUUGUUCAUUUUAUACCUAUUUGAUAAACAAAAUGAUAAGAAGUAAAGAUUAAACAUCUAUAAAACCAAGUUCUUGUCAUAUCCAUAACAUAAAAUAGUCAUACAACAUAAUAAAAUACCAUAACUAAGAGUUUUGAUAAUCUCGCCACAUAUGAUCUGUUAUGGAAUCCCUGAUACUACUACCAAUCCUAUAAUCCUCUUCUCUAACUUGAGACGAUGAAACAUUAUGGUCUUCCCUUUCAUUCAACUCAUUAUUAACUUCAUCAAGUAAUGAGUCAUCGUUAUCCACGCUACGAAGGAAGUUGUGUAAGAUACAACAAGCUAAUAUAAUGUCUGUCAUUGUUUCCAAUCCAUAGGGUGGUUCAGUGCCACUUGCAAUGAUAGGGAAUCGUUUUUUCAACACACCAAAAGUUCUUUCAAUAACAUUUCUCAACGAUGAAUGUCGAUGAUUAAACAAUUCACGUGAAUUUUGUGGUCCUCGUGUAUAUUCUUUAAGGUGAUAUCUGAAGCCUCUAUAUGGAGUCAAAAUUGUGCUUUUCAACAUAAAUCCAGCAUCACUGAGAUAGUAUUUUCCUACAAUUUUGUACAUAUACAGGUAUUUAGUGACUACUAAAUUAAACCUUCAACACACCAAUUUAGAGACUCACCUUGAGGGAUAACCAAUGGAUCAUCUCGAUCAAGAGCAUUUUUUAAAAUUCUUGAAUCAGAUGCAGUGCCUUCCCACCCAGCUAGAACAUAGGUGAAUUUCAUGUCAAAAUCACACGCCGCAAACACAUUUUGAGUUGGCCAAUCUUUUCCUCCUCGAAAUCUCGCAGCAUCAGAUCUUGGCACCUUUACACGAACAUGAGUACCGCCUAUGGCCCCUAGACAAUCCUAAACAUAAAAAUAAGAAGUCAUCAUAAAACUCAAAAAUUUUUUUAUCAUCCUUUCAUCAAAUAACAUCUUCAAAUAUGUUGAAAUGAGUACCUUAAAGUACGGGUAAAAUCGAUUGUUGUUCAAGACAUAUGGAUGAACCUCAUUUCCUGAGGGUUGAAUUAGAAAUUCUGAUUCCAAAGUUAUGAUAGCAUCUAACACAUUCUGAAAGUGAUUGCUAACCGUCGACCCAGAUCGAUGAAAGAAAGAUGCAACACUUCGAUUCUUAACAUUAUGGCCUAUUAUAUGAAGAAAUUGAGCAACUUGUUCCUCCACUGUCAACCGAAUGACGUCCUUAACUAACCCAGUUGAUCUUAGUCUCUCACAAAGAUUAAUAAAUGCCUCUGGACCCAUCCUAAUAAUGUCACGGCACCGAUUAGCAUGCACAAGAUAUGACAUUAAUUGCUCCCUACGACGAUCUCUGUCUGGUAGGAAAUUGCUUACACUACUCGAAUCACUCGAGUACAUAUUCAAGAUACUCAACGCAUGUCCAACAAUGCAUAACAUUGUUAGUGCAGCCAAUGAAGUGGUUAUUUGUAAUUGUUGAUGUAUCGUUGCGAUAAUAUUGAAGUCUACACCAACCACAUCAUUAUUUAUAUCUUCACGGUCCAAAUUUGAUAAAUCUAUUUCUUCUUCCAUCUAUAUUUAUUUAACGAAAUACAUAUAAUUUAACAACUUUAUACAUACAACUAAAAUCAACAAUAUCAUUAAAUUCAUAUAUAUAAUCAUAUCCUAAUUAAUAAUAUUCAUGCAUUCAUAUAACAAUUAAACAAAAUACAUUAUUUAUAUUCAGUAAAUAAACCACAUUCAUACAUAUUAAUUAAAUAUAGUAAUAUGAAACAUACCUAUUGAAGACACUUAUAAAGCUUUGAACCAAGAUUUCAAGCAAGAUUCAAUACGCACUCAGAGUAAGAUCCCAAUUAGAUACUAAUUUCAAUUGUCUUCAAAUAAAAUGAGUGACAAUUCCAAAAGAACCUGUUAAAAAAAGAUAUCAAUAUCUUAUAUCGGUUAAAAAAAAUUAAAAACUUUGUUAAAUAUAUACCUUCAAUUCACUCUACACCAUGCGUCUUCAAUGAACUCCACGGUGACUCAACACAGCAAGUUUGGAAGCUCAACCAGUUAAUGGUAAAAAAUUAUUAACAUACACCCACCAAGCUUUUUCAACGUGAAAGAUGCUCUAAUCAUAGUAUAAGAGGAUGUUCAGUAGUAAGUUACACAUGUUAUGGAAAGAAGAAGAUUGUCUUUAACAACACAAAUAAAAAACAAAUGGACAGAAUAUAUCUCCCUAACCUGAACAGGGUACUUAUCCCUCACUUCACCUCCGUAGCUUACCAAAUACUUCACCUGCUUACCAAAUGCACCUUAUCAUUACAAAAACCUGCAACACAUACAAAUGGUUAGCCUGCUCCCAUAAAAAACUAAAUCCUUGAACUCCCUAUGUUACUCUCGGACUCCUGCUGCAUCUACAGGUUCAUGGAACACAGAGGUGGCAUGACACCAAGAAAGAUGGGAUGUUCACCACUUGACUACCAACCCUGCAUAUCCUAAAUGGCACAAUAACAAGGUCAUUCUCCAAACACUGCAUGUAAUAAAGAUACAACAAACAAAUUGGACUGAUACAUCAACAUUCAGUUAUUGCAAAACAUUCAGCUUUAAGUUAAAAGAAUUCAAAAAUUCAAAAACAUAGAAAGCUGAUAUAUCAACUCUCAAUUCUGGCUAAACGGGGGACUUGUAAAACUUAAUACAAGUGUAACUAUCAAUUCUAGCGAAACAGAGGAUUUUGUAAAACUUGAUGCAUGCGCAACUCUCAAUUCUGGCUGAACAGGCGGUUUUGUAAAACCUCAUACAAAUGCUUGAGAAAACUUCCAAAAAAAAGCUCACAACAUAGUCACGGGUUGUUUUUGGUCUUAUUUGGAAAAGCUCUCUUACAAAAAUAACUUCACCCUUUUUCAUCUUCAAUUAUUAAAGCAACUUGGCUCCAUAUAUAUUACCUCAAAAAGAAGGUACAAUUAAUUAACUUUUGCAGCAAAUUAAGCUCAUCAUAAUUAAAAAAAAAAUGAAUUCAUUUUUCUCAUCAUUUCCUCGUAAUAUAAUUACUUAGUCCAUUCAAAUAUAACCUAAUUCACAAGUGGGGCACGUAAUCGACUACAUAAGCUAUUCAAGGCUAAAAACUAAAAACCUAUAAAAAAAUAUUAUCUAAGAUCAUUGCAUUUUUCUCUUUAUAUGCAUUUUGGAAUUAAUCAGAAGUAGCCUACAAUUUAAUAAAUGUAAAACUCUGGAAAAAGAUUCAAUCCAAUUCUGAAAACAUACAAUUUGUGGAGAUCUCGAAAACAAGUAACGAGAAACACAAUCCAUACAAAAACAAUAGAGAAUUUGGAAAUGGAAAGGGACCUGAUGUGUCUCUGCUUGAUGAGAACCCUAGCAUGGUGGAUGGACUUGGCCAUGCCGGACUUCAAGACGAGGGUUUGGAGGCGCCGCUCGAGGAAGUUCUCCACAGUGAGUGCGAGGACGUAAUCGAGUUUGUUCUGGGUCUCAAAUAAAGAUACGCACAACCGAAUAAAGAGCCGCAAAAUUAAUAGAACGUUGCCUGGAACCGAAUACACCUUCUUCGCAAAUUUUUCGAAAACCUAGAAUCGGAUACGCUUUUUAGUGGAACCGAAUACAUAGCUUUCGUCUUCUUCAUCCAGUUGCUUCCUCAUUAUCAAGCGCCUUCUUCCUCAUCCAUUAACCCCUCUCUUCGUCUUCACGAGAACUAGACGUCUUCAACCUGCAACAACCACAUAAACGUGUGCGAGAAAAAUUACCUCAGAUGAAGGUAUCCACAGCUGCUCACUCUCAACAGAAAACUUCAGCACACAGACACAACUCUCACUCGCGCAAAGCUCCUCAAAGUAUACACACUCUCAAACUUCGUUGUCUCUGUGUAAACACUCAAGCAUCGGUUAAUACACACACCAAAUUUAUGUACCAACAGCGUGUGUUAUUAAUGGUGUUCAUGGUCAGAGGUUCUUUUUCAAAUUCAAACACGAAUCUCUCCCUUUUACAGUGAAUGGUCGUAUCAACAAGAGAAUCUCGCCAGGGACACUUCACUGCGCUGCAAAAGCAUGGCGAAGUACAGUGCAAACUCCUCACAUGGGCAGGGACAGUAACAUGACUCGUGAGAGCACAGUGCAAUUAAUUCGUUGCUUGGAAUCGAGUACGAAAACUUUAGAAACGGUUCGUUUAUUUAUAUCAUGAAUGUUUUAAAGUUCUCUUGAAAUUAUAAA
rnacentral:lncRNA from 1 species